GGAGGUAUAGCUCAGUGGUAGAGGGUGUGCUUAGCAUGCACGAGGUCCUGGGUUCAAUCUCCAGCACCUCCA
rnacentral:tRNA from 1 species